rnacentral:rRNA from 1 species
UUCCGCGUACAUGAGUGUAGUGUUAGGGUUUCCGCCCCUUAGUGCUGCAGCUAACGCAUUAAGCACUCCGCCUGGGGAGUACGACCGCAAGGUUGAAACUCAAAGGAAUUGACGGGGAACCCGCACAAGCGGUGGAGCAUGUGGUUUAAUUCGAAGCAACGCGAAGAACCUUACCAAAUCUUGACAUCCUCUGAACCCCUCUAGAGAUAGAGUUUUCCCCUUCGGGGGACAGAGUGCAGGUGGUGCAUGGUUGUCGUCAGCUCGUGUCGUGAAAUGUUGGGUUAAGUCCCGCAACGAGCGCAACCCUUAAGCUUAGUUGCCAUCAUUAAGUUGGGCACUCUAAGUUGACUGCCGGGUGAACAAACCGGAGGAAAGGUGGGGGAUGAACUUCAAAUCAUCAUGCCCCUUAAUGAUUUUGGGCUACACAACGUGCUUACAAAUGGG